UAAUUAACCAUGCCUAAAAAUCUCUCAC
rnacentral:sRNA from 1 species